UUCCUACCUAAGCUGAUAGCCCUAGC
rnacentral:sRNA from 1 species